ACUUAGGUGUGUCGUGGUGUUUGGGUUGGGAAAUGUGUAGUUUUGUUGUAAUUUCUUUACGUUGAAUUAGAAUUGGUAACUAUUGGAAGGUGGAAAGAAUGGGGGAGACUAGGGAGACCUCAGUAUCAGAUAGCUCGGGCUUUAAGAGGUCAUUGAGAAAGAAAACGGGUGUAAGGAAUUAUGAUGAGAAUUUGAUGGAUGAGUUGAUAGAGAGCCAUUUGGGUGCUUCUUCAAGGAAAAGGAACAGAACACAGGAGGAUUUGGAGAAAGAAACAGAGAUUGAGGCCAUGAUAGCGCUAUCUUUGGGAUUUCCAAUAGAUGUGUUACUACGCGAGGAAAUUGAGGCUGGAGUUGUUAGUACAUUGGGUGGAAAAGAACAAAAUGAUUAUAUCGUUGUGAGGAACCACAUACUUGCAAAGUGGAGGGACAACGUUAGGUCAUGGCUUUCCAAAGGGCAAAUAAAAGAAACUGUGAGUAAUGAGUAUGCACACUUGAUAAAUGCAGCUUAUGACUUUCUUUUGAAUAAUGGAUAUAUAAAUUUUGGGGUUUCACCAUCGUUUGGGUCUCAGAAUCCUCAUGAAUCUGUAGAAGGGUCUGUAAUAAUUGUAGGUGCUGGACUUUCUGGCUUGGCAGCAGCAAGGCAGCUAAUGUCUUUUGGUUUCAAAGUGGUGGUACUUGAAGGUAGGAAUCGACCUGGGGGAAGAGUUUAUACUCAAAAGAUGGGUCGAAAGGAUAAUUAUGCUGCUGUUGAUCUCGGUGGCAGUGUAAUAACUGGUAUCCAUGCCAACCCUUUGGGCGUUUUGGCUAGGCAACUAUCCAUUCCUCUUCAUAAGGUUAGAGAUAAAUGCCCGCUGUAUAAGCCUGAUGGAACACCCGUUGACAAAGAAAUUGAUUCCAAUAUUGAGCUUAUUUUCAAUAAGAUGCUUGACAAAGUCACUCAAUUGAGAGAAUUUAUGCGUGGAUUUGGUAGUGAUAUUUCUUUAGGUUCAGUUUUAGAGACACUUAGACUAUUAUAUUCUGUGGCUAGAAGUGAUGAGGAAAAGCAACUUCUUGAUUGGCAUUUUGCUAACCUGGAAUAUGCCAAUGCCGGAAGCCUCGUGAACCUUUCAGCUGCUUACUGGGAUCAGGAUGACCCUUAUGAGAUGGGAGGAGAUCACUGCUUUCUUGCAGGUGGAAACUGGAGAUUAAUUAGAGCAUUAUGCCAAGGAAUUCCAAUCUUCUAUGAAAAGAAAGUUCAGACCAUUAGGCAUGGUGAUGAAGGAGUUGAGGUCAUUGCUGGGAACCAAGUGUUUCGAGCAGAUAUGGUCCUGUGCACUGUUCCACUUGGGGUCCUCAAAAAGAGAACUAUUGUCUUUGAACCAGAGUUACCUGAAAAGAAGCUUGCAGCAAUAGAAAGACUGGGAUUUGGGUUGCUCAAUAAGGUUGCCAUGGUAUUCCCUCAUGUUUUCUGGGGGGAGGAUUUGGAUACAUUUGGAUAUCAUAGCGAACAUAGUUAUAGACGUGGAGAAUUCUUUCUGUUCUACAGUUACCAUACUGUUUCUGGGGGUCCAGUCCUGGUUGCACUGGUGGCUGGGGAAGCUGCACAAUCUUUCGAAAAUACAGACCCAUCUGCUUCUCUUCAUCAAGUUUUGAGUAUUCUCAAAGGCAUAUAUGGUCCGAAGGGCAUCGACGUGCCUAAUCCUUUACAAUCCAUAUGUACGAGAUGGGGAACUGAUCCUUUUUCUUAUGGCUCAUAUUCGCAUGUCAGAGUGAAGUCAUCUGGCAAUGAUUAUGAUAUACUCGCAGAAAGUGUGGGAAACCGUUUGUUUUUCGCUGGUGAGGCCACUAUUAGGCAACACCCUGCCACCAUGCAUGGUGCCUAUCUCAGUGGCCUGCGAGAAGCUGCUCGCAUCCUCCGAGCUAUAAGGGAACAGCAAAAUAAUCCCAAGUGCAUGCAGAGGAAUAUUGGACCCAGCGAUGAUACUUUGCUGGAUCUAUUCAAGAGACCUGAUCUGGCAUUUGGGGAGUUUUAUUGUGUGUUUAAUCCUUUGUCCCAAGACCCAAAAUCACUGGGGAUUAUGAGACUGACUUUAGGAAAGUCUUGCAGGGAAUGCAUUAUUGAACAGUCUACUUCAGAGAGAACAGAGGAUAGCUGUCAACAUUUGUUAAAUGAACCGCUUCAGCUUUAUACAGUAAUAUCUCGCGAACAGGCACUAGAGUUGAAGCAGGUGACAGGAGGAAGAGAAAAUCAAAUGUCCUACUUAUUCAAAAAUCUCAACCUGAGGCUAGCGGGUGCCAAUGGAUUAGGACUUUUGGGUAAUUCGGUGAUAUCUAACAUUGUUAGUGCACGAAGAGGCAGAGGUCGGUUCCGCAUGUCUGCUGGACAGCAAAAUGCCGCAUAGAAGUGCUCAUGUUCUAGUCACCUCAAUGAUUUGUACGCAUCCACAGUUUUCAUAUAAUGAAGGCAUAUAUUUAGACGAGUUUUUUUAUUCUAGGUCCCUGAAGAGAAGUUGAGCUCGCUGCAGUAUUGAUGGUGGAAAUGACAUUUUUUGACACACUCCACCACUUUGUACUCAUUGAACAUGUAUUUUAUGGGACUCAACUUUUUAAUCGUAUUUCCAUCAAUUUUUAUCUAAA